AGCGUGCCGUCUCUGUCCGAUAACUGUUUGGAGCUGAGACGAUUCUGAACUCUGAAGGGGGCAAGAAAAUCAGCGGGCUCCAUCCGCUGAAUCUUCCACGAACACGAGAGGCGCUCCGGCGACUUGCAUGUAGCGUACGCUGGGCGUCGUGGCGGAGGUUAACGUCACUCUUGGAGCUCGGUGAUCAGUUGACCGGCCGUCCAUGUCAGCUCCGCGAGCUCGACCAGGCAUUGACUUCUCUCGCGUCGCAGACGGAUUAUACUCCAUGCCGUCCCGGUGCGGCUAAGUUUUUUCGCAUCAUUACCUGGGAUCUUGCUGAAGUUGUACAGUGUCACGGACGCGAGGACCCGAUGCUGAGCCUGCGACCGGUCGCCGGCGAGGCGCUGCUUCAGCCGCGGGAUGAGGGCCGAGAACGCGGCGAGCUGCACGUCGGCGGCGUCGAUCGACGCGAGCGACCGGCUCAGCCACGCAGCCGUCGUCAGGCACACGGCCGCCAGGUCGUGGUUGGGAGAGCUCAUGCACAUGGACAGCGCCUCCAGGAACGGCCUCCUCCCGCUGCCGAGUAGCGCCGCGGUCACAUCCCUCAGCCACACCUCGUCUUCGUCUCUUCCCUUGUCCUGAUCGACGCAGAGGAAUUUCUCUGAGCAACUUGGAAAAUUUUUAGUUGGAUAUAUUAUUGUUUGUAUCUGUGCGAUACAUUACCUGUACGGCAGCGUCAGAAUCGGCACGCGUGACACGUGAGCCGUCGACGAAGCCGGCUUGUUUCAGCAUCCGGUCCUCUGCAAGGAGGUCGCCCGAGAAGGAGAAAUGCCCUCCCAGCAGCAGCAGUGCUUUCCUGAUGUUGGCAACGACAUUUUCUUCAGACAGGGAGCAUCUCAGAGAAUGUGUGAUGAUCUUGGCAGCCUCUUCUCUGUAUACGCUAUCUCUGUGUGGCUCCACCUGCCAGAUUAUUUACAGACUACAGGUUCAGUAUAUUGCUUUGUCAUAGUUGAAUUGUGUAACAGUCUUGGUUAUUUAUUCAGAGACAUUUUUCCUCCGAGGGUAGGAAUUUAGCAAUAUCAUAGAUCACGCAGAGAAAGUAGGCAAGAAAUUUAGGUGGUUAGUGUGAAAUCAGAGUGUUUUGAUUAUUAUUUUAUUAUGAUAAAUAAUUGACUUUGUGAGAUAAUUGGUGGUUUAUUGGUGAA